AGAGUUUGAUCCUGGCUCAGAUCGAACGCUGGCGGCAUGCCUAACACAUGCAAGUCGAACGCCAUCCUCUGGAUGGAGUGGCGCACGGGUGAGUAACGCGUGGGAACCUGCCUUUUUCUGCNGGACAACGAUUGGAAACAAUCGCUAAUACCGNAUACGCCCUACGGGGGAAAGGUCCGCCGGAGAGAGAGGGGCCUGCGUUUGAUUAGNUNGUUGGUGAGGUAAUGGCUCACCAAAGCGACGAUCAAUAGCUGGUCUGAGAGGAUGAUCAGCCACACUGGGACUGAGACACGGCCCAGACUCCUACGGGAGGCAGCAGUGGGGAAUAUUGGACAAUGGGGGCAACCCUGAUCCAGCAAUGCCGCGUGUGUGAUGAAGGCCUUAGGGUUGUAAAGCACUUUCACUGGCGAAUAUGAUGACGGUAACCAGAGAAGAAGCCCCGGCUAACUUCGUGCCAGCAGCCGCGGUAAUACGAAGGGGGCGAGCGUUGUUCGGAAUUACUGGGCGUAAA
rnacentral:rRNA from 1 species